AUGAACGGUAGUAUCAAAAAAAAUAAUAAUAAUAAACGGUCAAAAAGACCUCGAAAAGAACAAAACAAAACAAGACCGUUGGAUGUAUGAAGAUGCUAGAUCCUUAAUUACUACCAAAAAAAAAAUUGAAAUGAACGGUGAGAUAUUGAGAUUGGAAAUGGACGGUUAGAUUAGGGGAAGAAGUUUUAACCUAACCUAAACCUAACAACAGCAGUAGCACGCUGCACGCCUCAUUUGAUCAUUUCAUCAUAAUCUAAACGGCUUUCUCUCUCUCCUAACUUGCUCCUCUCCAUCUCUCUCUCUCCUAACGCCUCUGAAUCUCCUAACUUUCUCACACCUCUGAAUCUCCCUCUUCAUCAUCUCUCUGCAUCUGAAUCUCCUUAUUGGCGAACGGUAAGAUCUGUCUUAUUCUCUCACGGUAUAAGACCUGUCAUACUAUACUCACGGUAUAACCGUAUAAGAUCUGUCAUACUAUACUCAGUUACUCACGGUAUAACCGUAUAAGAUCUGUCAUACUAUACUCACGGUAUAAGUGUAUAAACGUAUAAGAUCUGUCAUAUUCUACUCACGGUAUAAGUCAUGUCUCGUGAGUAUGAUGAAUUUGACUAUGAGAGGCAAUCAAAUUUUGAUAUUGUUAGCUCUCAAGCUGCCUCUGUCCCGCUUGAUGAUGCUAGUAAUACCGGCACUAUCAAUCCUUCUGUUAAUAAACGUCAAAGAACCGCAGGUAUAUGGAAGCAUUACACUUUUUUUGUAAAGACGUCCUCCUUAUUGGUAAAGAGAUUGAAGCCGAAAGUGCUUCAUCUGCAUAACUGGUAUUUGUGUCUCAUUGUGGUUUAUUUUAUCUUGAAAAAUCGUUGCCCUUGUCAUUUAUUUUCAGACUUGC